UCUAACUUGUCUGUAGUGUGUCUGUGUGUACAAUAAGUUGCCCCCCUGUCCAAGAUGUCCAGCACCUUGUACCAUGAGUCCCUAUGGAUAGGCUCCAGGCUCCCCAUGACCUUGUGUAGGUUAAGCGCUAUAGGAAGUGGAUAUCUACGUGAUCCUCACAGCCUCUGGAAGAUCUCUGGGGUUCAUUAAAGUACGUUACAUCGGUAUCUAGUGUUUAGUGUUACAUAUCUCCAUAUGUUAUUGAUACCAUACCAGCAGCUGGAAGUAACUGUUAAAGGUCAAACAAUGAUAGAUCCAGACUUUUACACAGAAGUUAAUAACACUUCAGAUUAACAAGGAGUACGAGUGCUGGAUUCUGUUCAUAUGUCUUUUUUUAUUCUUCUUCUUCUGAUUAUUUAUACUUACUACCUUAGAUUUUCUAAACCAUGUUUUCUUUUUGUUUCAUUUUUCUGUUUACUCUUCCUUCAUGGAAAGUCCUUACAAGUCCAGACUGAGUUGGACUGUAGACUACCUCAAAAAGCCAAACACUAAAAGUACAAAGAAACUGAUCCUGUCUGCCAAAAGUCCCAGAUUUUAUGAGAAAAGAAGAUUGUUUCGGUUUAGUAGUUAAGUGUCAGGUGUCCGGUGUGUCUGCCAUAAAGUUGGUUAUAAAAGCUGAACAUGAGCAUUGUAAACUCUUAGAGCUUUUUACAACUCCUGACUCAUCGCUGAUUCAUCCACAGAAAAACACAACAAGAUGCUUUGUGAAAGCUCUCUACGGAGCAUGGGAUACCAGGAGCACAUUCACCAGAUGGAGAGCCACUCGAGGGGUAUAGUCCUGUGUGAGCUGGCAUCAGACCAUGAGGACUCUUCAGUGCAGAACUUACACAUCCAAAAAUCACAAGCCUACACUCGCUGGAUUCCUGGCUUUCCUUCAGAAAGCUGUCAGACAGAAUGCAGAAAAAUGAAACAAAUCUUCACAAAGCUUCAAGAGUGGAGAGCUGAUCAUCUCAGUUCAACAUCUCAGGCUGAAGGCGGUGUUUAGUCAUGUCAUUAUUUCUCUGCUUCCCAGAGACAACGCCGGUUAAUCCUCCAGAGACGGCAGGUUUCUGCUAAACCACAAACAGGGACUUGUCCACCAGAGGACACAACCUGCUUUUGUUUGCUGUUAUUGAUUGAAACAAUGCUAGCAGACCAGAAACUGGAAAUAAAUGAUGAAUGAUCGCGUGUGUUGAUGUACAGGUCAAUGUCUAAAAACUUGGGUUAACUCUUAGCAAUGUUUUUCUAUUCAGUUCAUUUACAUGAGCUGUUUAUACAUCAGUUUUUAACUUUGUGGUAAAGUACGGUCAUUGUUUAUCGCUCUUUAUUAAAGAAAAACACUAAAUAAAAUAGAA